rnacentral:lncRNA from 1 species
CAACGCCUCACCGAAGCCUCGCUGCAGCUCUCCGUUUAUUUUUUCAGUUAGCAGAAAUGACCGAGGAAGGAACAUUUCAGAAAAGCUUCUUAUGUGACACACUGGGAAAAUAAGCAUUCACACGCUGCCAAGACUGGAAGAAAAGUGCUCCAAUCCUCUGAUAAUCUUCAUGGCUCACCUCUGGGCCCGCUCCAACAGCUCCACAUCUCUUCUGUGCUGGAGGCCCCCACCUCUGGGCCCGCUCCAACAGCUCCACAUCUCUUCUGUGCUGGAGGCCCCCACCUCUGGGCCUGCUCCAACAGCUCCACAUCUCUUCUGUGCUGGAGGCCCCAGACCUGGAUGCAGUACUCCAGAUGAGUCCUCAUGAGGACGGAACAGAGGAGGACAAUCACCUCCCUCUCCCUGCUGGCCACCCCUAUUUUGACACAGCCCAGGAUACUGUUGGCUUUCCAGGCUACAAGAACACACUACUGGUUUGUGUUGAGCUUUUCAUCCACCAGCACCUCCAAGUCCUUUUCCUCAAGGCUGCUCUCAGUGGGCACACAGAUAUGUGAUCAACACCGGAAUGGUAAAGACUCUGGCACUUUGCACUUCUGUUCUUGUUGCUGCCCUUAGCUUGUUUGUCUACUUGGACCACAGACUGUGCAAGUGAGGGACUUAGUCCAACAUGCGUUGGAAGAACAAAAUGUGGUGAAAGCUGAGUACUGGGAAUUUGCAAGUAGCAGUGAAGGCUGGGAACUGGAAACUUGCCGGUCACUGUUGAAAGUCGGUGAUCUGAUGAUCACUGAAGCUAAGGGCUAUCAAAAGCAUGGAAUGGCAACUGGAGAAUGAAUAGGAAGGAUCCCUUGCUUAUGUUAUGCCUGACACUGAGGAACUAAUGGAAUGCUGGGUCGUAUGACAGUACCUACAGUAUGUCAUUGUAAAAAAAAAAAAAUGUUUACCAAAAAAAAAAAAAAAUCCAUUAAAAUGAUUCAAACGUUGUGUGAUGAAAAAGGUAAAGAGUUACCCUGCUUAUUUUAUAGAAAAGGUAAAGAAUGGGCUUGGUCAGUCAGUCUAGAAGUGCGUAGGUGUGGAGAAGACACUUGCUAGCAGUAAUUUGUUCAACCUGGCAAAUGUACAGCAAGAGCCAAAGGCUUGCUGAACAAAAGCAG